UACGUAGGCAGCAAGCGUUGUUCGGAGUUACUGGGCGUAAAGGGUGCGUAGGCGGCCUAUUAAGUCAGGGGUGAAAGACGGUAGCUUAACUAUCGCAGUGCCCUUGAUACUGAUGGGCUUGAAUGUACUUGAGGUAGGCGGAAUGUGACAAGUAGCGGUGAAAUGCAUAGAUAUGUCACAGAACACCAAUUGCGAAGGCAGCUUACUAAAGUAUGAUUGACGCUGAGGCACGAAAGCGUGGGGAUCAAACAGG
rnacentral:rRNA from 1 species